rnacentral:rRNA from 1 species
AUUGAACGUUGGCGGCAUGCCUUACACAUGCAAGUCGAACGGCAGCACGGGAGCAAUCCUGGUGGCGAGUGGCGAACGGGUGAGUAAUAUAUCGGAACGUGCCCAGUCGUGGGGAUAACGUAGCGAAAGCUACGCUAAUACCGCAUACGAUCUAUGGAUGAAAGCGGGGGAUCGCAAGACCUCGCGCGAUUGGAGCGGCCGAUAUCAGAUUAGGUAGUUGGUGAGGUAAAGGCUCACCAAGCCGACGAUCUGUAGCUGGUCUGAAAGGACGACCAGCCACACUGGGACUGAGACACGGCCCAGACUCCUACGGGAGGCAGCAGUGGGGAAUUUUGGACAAUGGGCGCAAGCCUGAUCCAGCAAUGCCGCGUGCAGGAUGAAGGCCU